rnacentral:sRNA from 1 species
AGCUGGAUGGGGUCCACCGCCCGGGUGACCACCAGGUAGUCGCGUAACGCGAUGCCGUGCCGGUUUUC